CGCGGGUGGGAGGUCGGGUGAUCUCACCAGGCUCAUAACCUGGUAAACCAGGUUCGAGUCUUGGACCCGCAACCA
rnacentral:tRNA from 1 species